rnacentral:lncRNA from 1 species
UUGUCUACUUGGGUAUGGAUGGAUAGUGAUGGCAACACAAAGCAAACUUGUAAAAAAGCACUCACUCUCCCUUUGUUUUUCUUCUUUCUUUCUUUCUUUCUUUUUUUCUUCUUUAAAAAUAAAUUUUUAAUUUUUUUUUCUCAAUUGAAUGUUUAAACAAGUUUUUGGGUAUGGAUAGAGAUAAUGGCCUAUGGUAGCGCACAUUUUUCUUCCUCCAUAUUCAUCUUCUUCUCGUCUCAUUCUCUUUCUUAAGUGUCCAUGAAUCCUUAUGUGUUACUUUCUUUUCCUGUUUCUUCGACUUGUGAAAUCCUGCUUCCUUAUUCUCUCUCUCAACUUCUAUUGGGCCAAACUUCAGCACCCACAUGCUUGAUUUUCUUCUUGUUUGAUUUCAGGAUUUAAGGACUUCCCCGACCUAGUUUUCUUCUCAGAUUCUUUCUUGGGUCUGUGAUUUGGUGACCCAAUUGGGAAUUGUUCAUCUUCUGGGUCUUAAUUGGUAGCUCCUGAGAGGUUAAAAUCAAUUUCUAUUUAGAAUUGGAAACCCAGAAUCUGGGGAUUCUUUGAUUCUUUUUUGUGGGGUGUGUGAAUUUUCUUAUCUUCCUCUCACUCUUACCUCCUCUCCUUGCAUACUGAACUUGCCGGAUAA